AGAGAGAGAGAGAGAGAGCGCUGAUGCAGAGUUAAGGAGACAGAGCCCAGCUGCACACCUUGCCCGGCCGAAGCUGCAGGAAGCUCCUGCACCCUCAGCCCUGUCGGUACCAGGGUCUCAUGUAACCCGAGUUACCAGCAAACUUGCCACGUAGCUGGGGAUGACCUCAAACUUCUAACCCUCCUGUCUGGACCUCUGGAGUGCUAGGAUUACAGUCCUGUCUAGAGCUGGAACUUGCUGUGAAAUGGACAGAAGAUUGUUGGUCCCUGCCUUCUCAAGAAUACUCCAGAACCUUCCACCAUGUCUCUUUGUGUGAGAGUCAAUCUUCCUUGUCAGCCUGCUAGGAUUUAGAAUCAUGGUGGAAACACACAUCUGAACACGUCUGCCAGGGUGUUUCUGAGGAGGCUUAACUGAGGUAGAAAGACCCACACUAUGGGCCACAGCAUCCUGUGGGCUUGAGUCCAGUGUGCUGAAUAAGAAGGAAAGAGUAAGCUGGAAAGCAAUACCCAUCCCCCUCUGCGUCCUGAACUCAGACGCAGCGCACCUUGAGCUUCUGCCACCGUUAACCCUCAUUGUGAUGGACGGCAUCCUCAAACUGUAAGCCAACAGAUGCCCUUCCUUAAAUUAUUCCUCCAAAGGAAACCGUCCCAGUGAGCAGAGUCAGAGGUCCACAAGGACCCACCCUGAGACUCCUCGUGGCCUGCACACAUGGUAGAAUCAACUUCCAUAUGUUCUUGGGCCCUCACCAGCAAUACCCAGCGUGCACCAUGCUGAGUCCCAAGGGAGCCAGGUAGAAAGGAUGACCCUACAGGCAAUGAGGGACACAAGACCAAGGAUUGCUGGCUACAGGAAAUGGAUCCUAGAAGGAGUCAUUUGUGGAUAUCCCCUUGCAGCAGAUGGUCCCUGUUCUCUUGGCUGGUGCACUUGGCGCCUCCUCAGCUGGUCCCUUUUGACACUGUUUGGACUGAUUUUCAGCAGGCUCCUGGACUUUGGCAUCCCUUCUCCACAAAUACAGCCACCAAGAAGGCCACAGCCAUCCCCAGCCCUGGUGACGCUGGCCUUUGGCAGCAGACAGCUUAGCCCUCCUUCAUGUUCCUGCUGACAUCCGAGGAAAAGUCAUCGAGAUACCACGAAGCAAGCAGCACCUUCUUGCUAAAAGAGGUUUCCUUCUCAUGUCCCAGCGCAAUUCAGGCUGCAAGCCACCAGAGGAAACUUCAUUUUUACCCUACAUUUCCUGCCCAGUUCACUGUGUAAUUGGCCUGUGCUUCCCCCUCGGUGAUUUAGCAGGGAGUGCCGCAUCUUAUAAAAAGAAUAAAUCUGAAUAAAACCCAGGGAGCAAAACGGCUAGGAGACACAUUACCCUCCUGCUUCUCCUUAAAGCGCACUCCCCUCCAGGCCAUGUGAGCCCCAAACCAGAAGCUGGAACCGCUUGCCAGAAGCCUGAGCAGUCCAGCGCUUCACAGCUCCCAGGCCCUGGGGCGUGCAGGCUCAGCCAGCCAGGGACAGGACCUUCCCCAGAACACAAGAAAGAAGCUUACUCCUGGGCUGGUGAGAUGGCUCAGUGGGUAAGAGCACCCUACUGCUCUUCUGAAGGUCCGGAGUUCAAAUCCCAGCAACCACAUGGUGGCUCACAACCAUCCGUUAACGAGAGCGUCUGAAGACAGCUACAGUGUACUUACAUAUAAUGAAUAAAUAAAUCUUUU
ensembl:lincRNA B230312C02Rik RIKEN cDNA B230312C02 gene